rnacentral:lncRNA from 1 species
GCCAGCCAGAAUGGCGAUCAUUAAAAAAUCUGGAGACAACAGAUGCUGGAGAGGAUGUUGAGAAAAAGGAACACUUUUACACGGUUGGUGGGAGUGUAAACUAGUUCAACCAUUAUGAAAGACAGUGUGGCAAUUCCUCAAGGAUCUAGAAAUAGAAAUUCCAUUUGACCGAGCAAUUCUAUUACUGGAUAUAUACUCAAAGGAUUAUAAAUCAUUCUAUUACAAAGACACAUGCACACAUAUGUUUGUUGCUGUGCUGUCUGUGAAAAGGUCUGGCCACAAACCAGUUUUAUGGUCUUCACCCUACAUUCACUCAAGUGAACAAAACAACUAAGUAUGAAGAUACCGCAAGAGAGGAUGCCUCUGGAGAAAACUAUUGCAAUUUGUGGUGCAAAUCACUAGAAACUCUAAUGAUUGUUUCUUUUGCUGUGUAGAAGCUCUUAAAUUUAAUUACAUCCCAUUUGUCUGUUUUGGCUUUUGCUGCCAUUGCUUUUGGUGUUUUAGUCAUGAAGUCCUUGCCUAGCAAAUAACAAAGACCUGGAACCAAGCCAAAUACCCAUCAUUGAUAGAUUAGACAAAGAAAAUUUGGCACAUAUACACCUUGGAAUACUAUGCAGUCAUAGAAAACAACGUUUGUGUCCUUUGUAGAGACAUGAAUGAAUCUAAAAACCAUCAUUCUCAGCAAACUGACACAAGAACAGAAAAACAAAUACCGCAUGUUUUCACAGAUUGUAAUAGUCGUUGAAAGACACUUAUGUUCUCAAGAUGUCUUCAGUAUGUAUACUUGCCAGAUUGAGCUCCAUCUGCCCUGUUCAUUCUAUGUUCCAGAUGUAGGAGCAAGCACCAUGCCCACACAAACUUUCAAGAAAGUUUUGUUUAAUAACAAUAUGAAGAACUGAGAACUACUAGAAAAUCCGCCCACUUAGUUCCUCCAACUAGCCCAGCUGUUCAUGAAUGCUGAGGCAUGUUUCCACACACCAUUAUGGAAAAAACAAUUUGUCUCUCUUUGCAAGAUAAUAUUAUUCAAUCUGGUAGAGCAAAUCUGUUUAUGUUUUAAAAGGCAUUGAUAUUUAUUGGUUAAUUAUAUUGUUAAUUUUUCUUUAAGAAGAUACAGUGAUGUACAUCAUAUAUCUUGGAAUCUGCUUUUUUGUUUCUGAUUAUAAAAGUGUUGCCAGUUAAUUAAUAUUAAUAUUAAUUAAUAUUGAUCAUAUUAAUAUCAAUACCAAUUAUGCUCUGUUUAUAGUAAAUGUGAAUUAUAUAAUAAACUGAAUUCACUCACUCUAAGAAUUUCCAAAACUUACACAUAUAUACAAUAUAUUUUAUUGGUUUAACAUACUGUAAAUUCUACAACUGAUAUGCCUUAUUUAUAGUGGAUUAUAUCAUAAACAUGUUUUAUUACUAUUCACAAAACUUCAAAAUACAUCACAACAUUUGACAUAAUUAGAUAGCUGUCUCUGAUGUGAAAACCAAAUUUACUAAACUUUCAGACUUAUGUGAGUGGCUUGGUAUGUUUUUCUACUUAUUUUUCUAUAUGACAAUGAAUUCACAUAUUUCAAUGUUUUUCCCUAAAUUUCUCAAAAAUCUACAUCAUAGACCUUGG